AUUGAACGCUGGCGGAAUGCUUUACACAUGCAAGUCGAACGGCAGCACGGGGGCAACCCUGGUGGCGAGUGGCGAACGGGUGAGUAAUACAUCGGAACGUGCCCAGUCGUGGGGGAUAACGAAGCGAAAGUUACGCUAAUACCGCAUACGAUCUACGGAUGAAAGCGGGGGACCGUAAGGCCUCGCGCGAUUGGAGCGGCCGAUGUCAGAUUAGGUAGUUGGUGAGGUAAAGGCUCACCAAGCCGACGAUAUGUAGAUGGUCUGAGAGGAUGACCAGCCACGAUGGGACUGAGACACGGCCCAGACUCCGACGGGAGGCAGCAGUGGGGAAUUUUGGAAAAUGGGCGCAAGCCUGAACCAGCCAUUCCGCGUGCAGGACGAAGGCCUUCGGGUUGUAAACUGCUUUUGUACGGAACGAAAAGGCUCUGGUUAAUACCUGGGGCUCAUGACGGUACCGUAAGAAUAAGCACCGGCUAACUACGUGCCAGCAGCCGCCGUAA
rnacentral:rRNA from 1 species